CCUACGGGAGGCAGCAGUGGGGAAUUUUGGACAAUGGGGGCAACCCUGAUCCAGCCAUGCCGCGUGCGGGAAGAAGGCCUUCGGGUUGUAAACCGCUUUUAGCCGGGAAGAAAAGGCAGGGGCUAACACUCUCUGUUCUUGACGGUACCGGCGGAAUAAGCACCGGCUAACUACGUGCCAGCAGCCGCGGUAAUACGUAGGGUGCGAGCGUUAAUCGGAAUUACUGGGCGUAAAGCGUGCGCAGGCGGUUCGUUAAGUCUGAUGUGAAAGCCCCGGGCUCAACCUGGGAAUGGCAUUGGAUACUGGCGGGCUUGAGUGUGGCAGAGGGGGGUGGAAUUCCGCGUGUAGCAGUGAAAUGCGUAGAGAUGCGGAGGAACACCGAUGGCGAAGGCAGCCCCCUGGGCUGACACUGACGCUCAGGCACGAAAGCGUGGGGAGCAAACAGGAUUAGAUACCCUGGUAGUCCACGCCCUAAACGAUGAUCACUGGGUGUUCGGGGAGCGAUCUCUGGGUACCGUAGCUAACGCGUGAAGUGAUCCGCCUGGGGAGUACGGUCGCAAGAUUAAAACUCAAAGGAAUUGACGG
rnacentral:rRNA from 1 species